rnacentral:rRNA from 1 species
UACGUAGGGUGCAAGCGUUGUCCGGAAUUAUUGGGCGUAAAGAGCUCGUAGGCGGUCUGUCGCGUCUGCUGUGAAAACUCGGGGCUUAACUCCGGGCCUGCAGUGGGUACGGGCAGACUAGAGUGCGGUAGGGGAGACUGGAAUUCCUGGUGUAGCGGUGAAAUGCGCAGAUAUCAGGAAGAACACCAAUGGCGAAAGCAGCUUUCUGGGACGGUACUGACGCUGAGACGCGAAAGCGUGGGGAGCGAACAGG